AUACGGAGGGUGCGAGCGUUAAUCGGAAUUACUGGGCGUAAAGCGUACGUAGGCGGUUGGUUAAGUUAGAUGUGAAAGCCCCGGGCUUAACCUGGGAACUGCAUUUAAAACUGACGAACUAGAGUUGAGUAGAGGGGAGUGGAAUUUCAGGUGUAGCGGUGAAAUGCGUAGAGAUCUGAAGGAACACCAGUGGCGAAGGCGACUCCCUGGACUCGAACUGACGCUGAGGUACGAAAGCGUGGGUAGCAAACAGGAUUAGAAACCCCAGUAGUCC
rnacentral:rRNA from 1 species